UGUGGGGUUAUAAAGAUGAAGCUAGAGGUUCCUCCCUCCCCCAAGAUGGCAACAGCCGAAGACGAGUUACUGCUACCGCGGCUCCCCGAGCUGUUCGAAACCAGCAAACAGCUUCUAGACGAAGUGGAAGUAGCGACUGAACCCACCGGUUCCCGAGUGAUCCAGGAAAAGGUGGUCAAGGGAUUAGACCUCCUUAAGAAGGCUGCCGAAAUGUUAUUGCAGCUCGACUUGUUCAGCCGAAAUGAAGAUUUGGAAGAGAUUGCUUCCACCGACCUGAAGUACCUGAUGGUGCCAGCAUUUCAAGGAGCACUCACCAUGAAACAAGUCAACCCCAGCAAGCGUCUAGAUCAUUUGCAGUGGGCUCGAGAACACUUUUUAAACUACUUAAUUCAGUGCCGGUACUAUCAUGUGGCAGAGUUUGAGCUGCCCAAAACCAAGAACAACUCAACUGAUUUUAACACAGCUAGUUCCUCCAUGGCCUAUCCUAACCUUGCUGAUAUGGCAUCUCAAAGACAAGCUAAAAUAGAGAGAUACAAGCAGAAGAAGGAAUUGGAGCAUAGGUUGUCUGCACUGAAAUCUGCCGUGGAAAGUGGUCAAGCAGAUGAUGAGCAUGUUCGUGAAUAUUACCUCCUUCACCUUCGAAGGUGGAUUGGUAUCAGCUUGGAAGAGAUUGAGAGCAUUGACCAGGAGAUGAAGAUCCUGAGAGAAAAAGACUCCUCAACAGAGGCAUCAACUUCUCAUUCACCUCGUCAGGACAGGCCUCCAAUGAAACCCUUUGUUCUCACUCGGAAUGUGGCCCAAGCCAAAGUAUUUGGAGCUGGUUAUCCAAGUCUGGCAUCUAUGACGGUGAAUGACUGGUAUGAUCAGCAUCGGAAAUUUGGAGCAUUACCAGAUCAGGGCAUAGCCAAGACACCAGCAGAGCUCAAAAGAAGUGCUCAGCAACAGGAAGAUGAGGAACAAAAGGAGGAGGUUGAGGAUGAUGAGCAAACACUCCGCAGAGCUCGGGAGUGGGAUGACUGGAAGGACACCCAUCCUAGGGGCUAUGGCAACCGACAGAACAUGGGUUAGUCCUCCCACCACAAGACAGGACUACAGGGGUCACAUCUUCCCUGCCAAGGAAAGCAGCGCCGUCUUCCCCUCCCUGAGCUCCUGCUUCAGCUGCAUACAACGAAGGCAAAGAUGCUCAGUCUCGCUUUGCAAAGUUCAAUAAAGUGUCAAACAAUAAAAAAAA